CGUGAUAGCCAUAUUCUCAAGAACAGUUUACACUGAUCCAAACAGUUGCCACCCCCGUUGUAUUCUCAGCCGUUUCCAGCUGGUUAUUUCAUCUUUUUGUUUUUAAUAACCUUGUUUCUUUUUUGUCACCUAAAUCCUAAUGUGUGUUUUAAUCAGGUCUGGUUUCAUGUUUGGGAGAGAAUCAGCUCGUAAAGAACUUGGUCAUAAUCAUUUCCCUCCGCCGGAACGAUUCCACUUCCUCAUCUCCCUCCCGCUCAUGACUCAACCGCUAAACUCCCUCCCUCCCUCCCUCUCUCUCUCUC
rnacentral:lncRNA from 1 species